UCUAAGUAUAAGCAAUUAUACGGCGAAACUGCGAAUGGCUCAUUAAAUCAGUUAUCGUUUAUUUGAUAGCACCUUAUUACUUGGAUAACCGUGGUAAUUCUAGAGCUAAUACAUGCUAAAAAUCCCGACUCACGAAGGGAUGUAUUUAUUAGAUUAAAAACCAAUGCCCCUCGGGGCUUUCAGGUGAUUCAUGAUAACUUGUCGAAUCGCAUGGCCUUGCGCCGGCGAUGGUUCAUUCAAAUUUCUGCCCUAUCAACUUUCGAUGGCAGGGUAUUGGCCUGCCAUGGUGACAACGGGUAACGGAGGGUUAGGGCUCGACCCCGGAGAAGGAGCCUGAGAAACGGCUACUACAUCCAAGGAAGGCAGCAGGCGCGCAAAUUACCCAAUCCCGACACGGGGAGGUAGUGACAAUAAAUACUGAUACAGGGCUCUUUUGGGUCUUGUAAUUGGAAUGAGUACAAUUUAAAUCCCUUAACGAGGAACGAUUGGAGGGCAAGUCUGGUGCCAGCAGCCGCGGUAAUUCCAGCUCCAAUAGCGUAUAUUAAAGUUGUUGCAGUUAAAAAGCUCGUAGUUGAACCUUGGAUCUGGCUGGCCGGUCCGCCUCACCGCGUGCACUGGUCCGGUCGGAUCUUUCCCUCUGGGGAACCCCAUGCCCUUCACUGGGUGUGGCGGGGAACCAGAACGUUUACUGUGAAAAAAUUAGAGUGUUCAAAGCAGGCAUAUGCUCGAAUACAUCAGCAUGGAAUAAUAGAAUAGGACGUGUGGUUCUAUUUUGUUGGUUUCUAGGACCGCCGUAAUGAUUAAUAGGGACAGUCGGGGGCAUCCGUAUUCAAUUGUCAGAGGUGAAAUUCUUGGAUUUAUUGAAGACGAACUACUGCGAAAGCAUUUGCCAAGGAUGUUUUCAUUAAUCAGGAACGAAAGUUAGGG
rnacentral:rRNA from 1 species